CAGUUCACUUUCUACUUGGAGGCCUAGGAAACAAUGUGGAAAAUGAAAAAUACUUACGGCAAACCUAAGCCAACUUUCUCAGUUUCUCUCCCUUUUCCUGGAUGGAAGAUUUCUAACUAUUUUAGAGUCGCUGAAGCAAGAACAACACCGUGGAGCUAAGCGACACUUCUAAAUAGGGAUGGCGAAAGGAAAGACGUGAAUUUCUGGAAACCUGAAAGAGCUUCUUCUGCUCCAAUGGGGCUUUGCAGUGGGAAUUUUUGUUUGUCACCGGAGGUUCAACUCACGUCCUACCUGUGGAGUAAAAUCUUUCCCUGAUAAAGGCGAAGAAAUAGCAGUGUUUGGAUAGUGACCUAUCUUCCUGAGAAGAAUGGCUGAGAUGUCUGAAAUUAUUCCUGGAAUUAGACCAGCAUGAGAUGUCCUCUACCAAGCUGAGACAAUUGUAAAGAAAGCCAGGAAGGAGAAAUUAGAGGAGUGCUUUUUCAAAAUUGCCUUUUUUGUCRAAGGCAGAAGAGUUGCACUUCCAGCAAAUGUUCACUUG